rnacentral:rRNA from 1 species
GAUGAACGCUGGCGGCGUGCCUAAUACAUGCAAGUCGAGCGAACGGACGAGAAGCUUGCUUUUCUGAUGUUAGCGGCGGACGGGUGAGUAACACGUGGAUAACCUACCUAUAAGACUGGGAUAACUUCGGGAAACCGGAGCUAAUACCGGAUAAUAUUUUGAACCGCAUGGUUCAAAAGUGAAAGACGGUCUUGCUGUCACUUAUAGAUGGAUCCGCGCUGCAUUAGCUAGUUGGUAAGGUAACGGCUUACCAAGGCAACGAUGCAUAGCCGACCUGAGAGGGGGACCAGCAACACUGGAACGGAGAAACGGCCAAGACUCAGAAGGGAGGCAGAAGAGGGGAAUAUUGGGAAAGGGGAGAAAGCCUGAGGAAGCAAGGCGGGGGGGGGGAGGAAGGUCUUCGGAUGGAAAAACAUUUUAAUUGGGGAGAAAAAGAGGUAAAGGAAUCUGUGAAAUUCGUGACGGUACAAAAAGAAAAAGCAACGGCAAACUCCGUG